GGAUUUGAUGAUACGAUUUGACACCCAGUCUCACUUGCUAUGCAAUAUGGUGAAACGAAGAUCGACUAUCUGAUCC